rnacentral:rRNA from 1 species
UCAGGCCUAACACAUGCAAGUCGAGCGGGGUUUUCGGACCUAGCGGCGGACGGGUGAGUAAUGCGUAGGAAGCUACCCGGCAGAGGGGGAUACCAGUUGGAAACGACUGUUAAUACCGCAUAAUGUCUACGGACCAAAGUGUGGGACCUUCGGGCCACAUGCUGUCGGAUGCGCCUACGUGGGAUUAGCUAGUUGGUGAGGUAAUGGCUCACCAAGGCGACGAUCCCUAGCUGGUUUGGGAGGAUGAUCAGCCACACUGGAACUGAGACACGGUCCAGGCUCCUACGGGAGGCAGCAGUGGGGAAUAUUGGACAAUGGGCGCAAGCCUGAUCCAAAAGUGCCGCGUGUGUGAAGAAGGCCUUCGGG